GUAAGCAAGCCCUUAAUAAAUGCUUUGAUGUAAUGUUCCUUUUGUUCACAGUACAGUUAUGUAGUGCUAGCCAGAUAUUUAAAAAUGCUCUAAGAAAAGCUUGUCAGGGGGGAGGGGGAAAUGUUUUUCUUGUGAUAAAUGAACUUUGGUUUACCAAGGGUAUUUUGCAUGAUGCUGCUGCUAUUUUAACUUUUCAGUUGUUUUUUCUCUUACUGUAGAGUGUAGUCAUUGAAAAGUUAACUGAGUGAUAUUGUUAUGUAAGAAUCUGAACCUUGCAGUGUAAAUGCACUUAAGUCAUCUUUAAAAUGUUGUUAAACUACUCUGAAUAUACUGUGCAAUGUAAAUGCUGAAUGAUUGGGGUUAGAUAAAUGGUGAAAUGAGAAUUAAUGAAUUUUAUACAGAUUCAUGCUUUCGCCUGAUAACCUAUGUACAGAUAUUUUAAGUACAUAAAUCAGAUUUGACACAUUUAUUUUUUGAAAAGUACAUAUAUGUUCUCAAUGAAGAUUCAUCCUAGGUUUCCUCUUUGUUCGUUUCAAUAGUAGCACAUACAAUCCAAAAGUUCCUGCUACUGCUGCUUUUGCCCUUCCAUUUUAAAUGGUAUGAUCGUUUGGCCAAAAUUUCCAUGCAAGUUGAUAAGGGUUUUACAAUAAUCUGAACAAAUAGGAAACCUUGAAUCUCUAUGUAUGCACAUGAAUACUUGAUUGUGAAUAAUAAAAGUUGUUUUUUAUACAGCCUCAUUGGUGAAAAUGGUUAGUGUAGUAAAUCAGAUAUUUCAUUAUAGACUAAUAUGGUAGCAGAUUAUUUAUGCUUUUAAAAAUUAUUUUCUGGAGCAAACAGUAUUUGAAGAAAAGGUAAAAACUAUGAAUGUGUAAUUCUAAGAAUAGUUAAUAAUUUUACUGAAGGCUGAACGUAUGUAGAUAUUUUUUAUGAUAAAAUGCAGUUUUUCUUUUUUUGGAACAUGCCAAUUACUGGUAUGUGUAUAUGCUGGAAAUUUUCUUACAUAUCCUUUUUAAGUCAAAGUUAUUAACAUUAUCCAGCAUGCUUUAAUAUGCUCCACAUAUCAAAGAUAUAACCAAUAAUUUAACGUAGCUUAAAAGAUAACAUUUGUUUUGUUUUUAGCUUUGCAUACAUUUGUAAUUCCCUCCCACCACCAAUAUACCUUAGGUACCAUUUGUGUACAUUUCAAGAUUUUUUUUUUCAAUAAAAAGGUGGGGGGAAAUGGAAUCACUUUGCCAACUAUUGUUCUAAGAGUUGACAUCAGUUACCAUUUCUAAUGCAUUGUUGUGAUUUUGUAGUGUCAUUCAUAACUGGUAUUGACAUUUUAGAAAACACCAAAGUGAUUUAAAAUAUAUGUGGGGAAAAAAACUUCUCACUCUAGUAACAAUGUUUUAAUCAUGUUGUUUGUUAAAUAUUUAAAAGUUAUUGUUCAAUUUUUGCUAGACUAUCUUAAAUCAUGAUAGUGUUGGGAAGGGGGUAUCAAAAUAUAAAAUUGUUAGUUUGUGUAUAUAAACAAUGCACAUUAAAACAAUUGAAUUGCUUCCAGCAUACAACAAACUACCUUAAAAUUAUGUUCAAAAUCUAUUAAAUAUAUUUUCAUGGCUAAUGUCGAGUAUAUGUUUUCAUCAAUUACAUUGUUAUUGUAUUAAUCGCGGUUAAACUUGGCAUCUCUUGGCAGGAUCCUAUUUAAUUUCUGUUGCCAUCAAAAUAUAUUUAUAUGCAUGAGUUUUGCUAUAAACCUUUAUUUUCUGCUAUAAAGUUAUAUAUUAUGACAACCAUAAAUGCAAUUACAAAUUGGGUAAGAACAAGCUGAAUAAAAGUUGUUCCCAUGACUAAUAUUAGUCUUCAUGCUUUUAGCAUAUUUUUUAAGACAGUAACACUCAUCCCAUCAAAUUAUUACAUUACAUUUAGUAUUUUUCUGAGUUACAUUGACAAGAACUUAAAUUAUAGCCUGUUAUUAAUAUUGAUUUCCAACGACUGAACAGUACAACAGAUCAAUAAAAAAGUUUAUACACUGCUUUAACUAAUUUUUGUUAUACUCAUGUGGCUUAGUGUAGUUAGUCACUAAAACAGAGUUCAAGUGAGCUUGGCAAUGGUGUUGAGUAACAAGAAAGAAUUUUGCAUUAAUGAUUUCUUUUUAUUUUCCUCAUUUAAACAACCAGCAUUACUGCCAAACACCAACCGUGGUCCAUAUUUGUAACAGGUUUUUAACAUGACAUAGUUAGCAAGUUUGAUUGAAGAGAUUUUUAGGUCCUGGGCCUAUAAGAUUUUAGUAUGAUCUUUUUUCAUGUUUCUAAUGCUUGAGGUGUUACUGCUUAACUUGGGAAAAAAAAAAACAAAAAACAGUGUUCCUGCCAUUUGUAAGUUUUCCUAUAAUAUUCCUUUUAUUAACUUUAAAACUGGACUUAUCGGGUUCAAAUAGGCAGUAUCCCUUUUAAGUGACCUUUGCAACCCAAGUGUUACUUGCUUAUUUGAUGCUCUCUUGUAUUUUAAAUCUCAUUUAAAUCUUUGUCUGUGACCAACAAAGCUUAAGAUUUUGUCUUCAUUUAAAACUCUGAAUCUAUUCCAUUGAUCAUGUUAGACGUUCAAAUGUUUAAUGGUAUAGUCUGACCUAGUGAAACAAAAUGGAUGUUGUUACUUUUUUUAAAGAAUAGAAUGAAAUAACUAUUUCACUUGCCCAAAAUUUUAAAUAUUUUUUCAUCUAAACUUGUAUUGUUUCCCAUAGCAGAAUGUCAAUAUUCACAGUACAUUUCUGUAAAGAGCAAACCAAUAUAAUGUUUUGAGUGUUGAAAAAAAUUCCAGAUUUUUGAAGAAUUAGACAACUCUUCAUCUACCUUAUUUCUAGUUCACACAGUUAUCUCAAAUUCCACUGAAACUAAUGGGAUACUGUCUUGUGUAGAUGCCAGUUGAGUUUAUAAUGUGACCUAGUAAAGCUGUCUUUUUUGUUGUGUUGUAUGAGUGUCGGAUCAUGCUUUUAGGAAUACUUUUAUUAAAAUGGUGUGCAUUCAUGCAAAAGGCCAACUGGCUUUUGUGAACAAUAGAUCUUUUCUCCCCUUUAUUUUGUUCUCUUGACACUUUUGUGAAAAUUACCUAGCCUGAUAAAAACAUUUUGUAAAAAUUUGUAUAAUACUGUUAUAAAAUAUUUAUAAUCCCAGAAAAUGUUGUGUUAAAUCUUGUGCAAAAACAGUAUAUUCAGAAUAAAAGUUUAUCAUUUAAAGUCA
rnacentral:lncRNA from 1 species